rnacentral:tRNA from 1 species
GCGGGAAUAGCUCAGCUGGUAGAGCUCCAGCCUUCCAAGCUNNCCACGUUGCCAACGUGGUUGUCGCGGGUUCGAGUCCCGUUUCCCGCUCCA